UUCGUUAAUAGUCGCACCAUGUUUUACAGGAAUACCUGCUGCUGUAAGGAAUCCUCUGGUCUUCCAGAUUAAGCCAAAAUCAUGCGCUACUCCUAAGGCAUACCUGGAGUCUGUGUAAAUGUUGACACGCUUUCCUUCUGAUAUUCUGCAUGCCACUGUAAGAGCUAUCAGCUCGGCUUCUUGGGCUGAUUUGGAGGAGGGAAGUGAGGAUGCUUGGAGUAUUUGGUCUUCUGUGGUGACUGCAUACCCGGUAUGGUAUUGACCCUGUUCGUCUGCAAAUCUGGAAACAUCCACAAACAGUGUGCAAUCAUGGUUUGGCAAGGUGGUUUCGUGCACUAUGGGAAGAUGGGUAGUUUACAUCUUCAUCUGUUCAAAGCAAUCAUGUGGAGCUUCUG